AGAUUCCUGGGAGACUCAAAACCCUGUUCAACUCUCUCUGGGCUAGCUGCUCCCCUCCCCAAGAGGAUUUCUCUCCAGAGCUGGUAUCAUCGCUUAAUGAUGUUCCACCAACAAGGGGAAGGUUUCUUUUCUGGGAGCUGCUAUCACUGAAUACAUAAAGAAAUUGAGCCUAUAUGAUUUCAAUCUUCACCUUCUGAUGCUGAUGAAACAGGAUUCUAUGCAGUUUACAGGGGGCCUGGAGGAAUGAAUCAGUGGCAGUGAGUGACAGAGUGGUCUCAGCAGGAAGAGGUGGAGGCAACGCUGGGAUUUGGAAAUGCCUCUAGAAAAUCCUCUCCAGUCAAGUAAUUGCAUCCAUUUCAUCUUCCCAGCCCUCCUCUAGAUGGGAGGUGGAGGUGUGUGUACCAAUCUCUUAAUUCAGAAAUGAGACAAGAGGAGGAAAAAGGAGUUCCGGAGGACAGUGGGGACCCCAGCCAGAGCCUGGGGACUUGGCUGCCUUGGAACCAGAACCUGGCCCCUCAGAGGAGUUGCAGAAUUUCGAUAGAGGAGUGGCAGGAGGUGUACUGGCUGAAGAGGAGGCCCAAGGAACUCCUUUUCAUACAUCAAAACUGAGCUUAUCACCUCUACCCUGAAGUCAUCCUGGACAUCACUGGUCCCAGUUAAUCACUCACUUAUCUUUGCCAUCCUUGACCUGGGAAGAGAACGUUGCCCUCAUUGGUCUGGAAUCAGCAGGUACCUCAUGGCUGGAGGUGUAUUUUCAGAUGGAGUCUCACUCUGUCACUCAGGCUGGAGUGCAGUGGUGCGAUCUCAGCUUACUGCAACCUCCGCCUCCCGGGUUCAAGUGAUUCUCCUGCCUCAGCUUCCCCAGUAGCAGGGACUACAGGACCACAGACUCCUUUGGCAUCUGGUGAGGCCUGUGGAUUCAUUCUCAGAAUCACAUUUUUAAAUGCACAUAAUAAAAUACAUAGAAUUGCAAAGGAAGUUAAUUAUAUUGAAAUACAGUUAUCAAAAAUAUAAAUAAAACAAGUAUGUGGUACAGUCA
rnacentral:lncRNA from 1 species